GAUGAACGCUGGCGGCGUGCCUAACACAUGCAAGUCGAGCGGAGAUUAUAAAGCUUGCUUUAUAAUCUUAGCGGCGGACGGGUGAGUAACGCGUGGGUAACCUGCCCUAUACACACGGAUAACAUAUCGAAAGGUAUGCUAAUACGAGAUAAUACAUUUUUAAGGCAUCUUAAAAAUGUCAAAGAUUUAUCGGUGUAGGAUGGACCCGCGUCCCAUUAGCUAGUUGGUGAGGUAAAAGCUCACCAAGGCGACGAUGGGUAGCCGACCUGAGAGGGUGAUCGGCCACACUGGAAUUGAGACACGGUCCAGACUCCUACGGGAGGCAGCAGUGGGGAAUAUUGCACAAUGGGGGAAACCCUGAUGCAGCAACGCCGCGUGAGCGAUGAAGGCCUUCGGGUCGUAAAGCUCUGUCCUAAGGGAAGAUAAUGACGGUACCUUAGGAGGAAGCCCCGGCUAACU
rnacentral:rRNA from 1 species